GGUCAAGUGAAGAAGCGCAUACGGUGGAUGCCUUGGCAGUCAGAGGCGAUGAAAGACGUGGUAGCCUGCGAAAAGCUUCGGGGAGUCGGCAAACAGACUGUGAUCCGGAGAUGUCUGAAUGGGGGAACCCAGCCAUCACAAGAUGGUUAUCUUACACUGAAUACAUAGGUGUAAGAGGCGAACCAGGGGAACUGAAACAUCUAAGUACCCUGAGGAAAAGAAAUCAACCGAGAUUCCCUUAGUAGUGGCGAGCGAACGGGGACCAGCCCUUAAGUUGUAUUGAGAUUAGCGGAACGCUCUGGAAAGUGCGGCCAUAGUGGGUGAUAGCCCUGUACGCGAAAAUCCCUUUGCAAUGAAAUCGAGUAGGACGGGGCACGAGAAACCUUGUCUGAAUAUGGGGGGACCAUCCUCCAAGGCUAAAUACUACUGACUGACCGAUAGUGAACCAGUACCGUGAGGGAAAGGCGAAAAGAACCGCGGAGAGCGGAGUGAAAUAGAUCCUGAAACCGUAUGCGUACAAGCAGUGGGAGCCCACUUUGUUGGGUGACUGCGUACCUUUUGUAUAAUGGGUCAGCGACUUAUUUUCAGUGGCGAGCUUAACCGAAUAGGGGAGGCGUAGCGAAAGCGAGUCUUAAUAGGGCGUCUAGUCGCUGGGAAUAGACCCGAAACCGGGCGAUCUAUCCAUGGGCAGGUUGAAGGUUGGGUAACACUAACUGGAGGACCGAACCGACUACCGUUGAAAAGUUAGCGGAUGACCUGUGGAUCGGAGUGAAAGGCUAAUCAAGCUCGGAGAUAGCUGGUUCUCCUCGAAAGCUAUUUAGGUAGCGCCUCAUGUAUCACUGUAGGGGGUAGAGCACUGUUUCGGCUAGGGGGUCAUCCCGACUUACCAAACCGAUGCAAACUCCGAAUACCUACAAGUGCCGAGCAUGGGAGACACACGGCGGGUGCUAACGUCCGUCGUGAAAAGGGAAACAACCCAGACCGUCAGCUAAGGUCCCAAAGUCAUGGUUAAGUGGGAAACGAUGUGGGAAGGCUUAGACAGCUAGGAGGUUGGCUUAGAAGCAGCCACCCUUUAAAGAAAGCGUAAUAGCUCACUAGUCGAGUCGGCCUGCGCGGAAGAUGUAACGGGGCUCAAACCAUGCACCGAAGCUACGGGUAUCACCUUUGGUGAUGCGGUAGAGGAGCGUUCUGUAAGCCUGUGAAGGUGAGUUGAGAAGCUUGCUGGAGGUAUCAGAAGUGCGAAUGCUGACAUGAGUAACGACAAUGGGUGUGAAAAACACCCACGCCGAAAGACCAAGGUUUCCUGCGCAACGUUAAUCGACGCAGGGUUAGUCGGUCCCUAAGGCGAGGCUGAAAAGCGUAGUCGAUGGAAAACAGGUUAAUAUUCCUGUACUUCUGGUUAUUGCGAUGGAGGGACGGAGAAGGCUAGGCCAGCCUGGCGUUGGUAGUCCAGGUUUAAGGUGGUAGGCUGAGAUCUUAGGUAAAUCCGGGAUCUUAAGGCCGAGAGCUGAUGACGAGUGUUCUUUUAGAACAUGAAGUGGUUGAUGCCAUGCUUCCAAGAAAAGCUUCUAAGCUUCAGGUAACCAGGAACCGUACCCCAAACCGACACAGGUGGUUGGGUAGAGAAUACCAAGGCGCUUGAGAGAACUCGGGUGAAGGAACUAGGCAAAAUGGCACCGUAACUUCGGGAGAAGGUGCGCCGGUGAGGGUGAAGCAUUUACUGCGUAAGCCCACGCCGGUCGAAGAUACCAGGCCGCUGCGACNAGGUUAAUUGAUGGGGUUAGCGCAAGCGAAGCUCUUGAUCGAAGCCCCGGUAAACGGCGGCCGUAACUAUAACGGUCCUAAGGUAGCGAAAUUCCUUGUCGGGUAAGUUCCGACCUGCACGAAUGGCGUAACGAUGGCGGCGCUGUCUCCACCCGAGACUCAGUGAAAUUGAAAUCGCUGUGAAGAUGCAGUGUAUCCGCGGCUAGACGGAAAGACCCCGUGAACCUUUACUAUAGCUUUGCACUGGACUUUGAAUUUGCUUGUGUAGGAUAGGUGGGAGGCUUUGAAGCGUGGACGCUAGUCUGCGUGGAGCCAACCUUGAAAUACCACCCUGGCAACUUUGAGGUUCUAACUCAGGUCCGUUAUCCGGAUCGAGGACAGUGUAUGGUGGGUAGUUUGACUGGGGCGGUCUCCUCCUAAAGAGUAACGGAGGAGUACGAAGGUGCGCUCAGACCGGUCGGAAAUCGGUCGUAGAGUAUAAAGGCAAAAGCGCGCUUGACUGCGAGACAGACACGUCGAGCAGGUACGAAAGUAGGUCUUAGUGAUCCGGUGGUUCUGUAUGGAAGGGCCAUCGCUCAACGGAUAAAAGGUACUCCGGGGAUAACAGGCUGAUACCGCCCAAGAGUUCAUAUCGACGGCGGUGUUUGGCACCUCGAUGUCGGCUCAUCACAUCCUGGGGCUGAAGCCGGUCCCAAGGGUAUGGCUGUUCGCCAUUUAAAGUGGUACGCGAGCUGGGUUUAGAACGUCGUGAGACAGUUCGGUCCCUAUCUGCCGUGGAC
rnacentral:rRNA from 1 species